UACGUAGGGGGCGAGCGUUGUCCGGAAUUACUGGGCGUAAAGGGUGCGUAGGCGGCCCUUUAAGUCAGAUGUGAAAGGCCACGGCUUAACCGUGGAACUGCAUUUGAAACUGGAGGGCUUGAGUGUCGGAGAGGGUAGUGGAAUUCCCAGUGUAGCGGUGAAAUGCGUAGAUAUUGGGAGGAACACCAGUGGCGAAGGCGACUACCUGGACGAUAACUGACGCUGAGGCACGAAAGCUAGGGGAGCAAACAGG
rnacentral:rRNA from 1 species